AUUGAACGCUAGCGGGAUGCUUUACACAUGCAAGUCGAACGAGUGGCGGACGGGUGAGUAAUAUAUCGGAACGUGCCCAGUAGCGGGGGAUAACUACUCGAAAGAGUGGCUAAUACAGCAUACUCUUGGAGAGGCCGAUAUCGGAUUAGCUAGUUGGUGGGGUAAAGGAUCACCAAGGCAACGAUCCGUAGCUGGUUUGAGAGGACGACCGGCCACCCUGGGACUGAUACACGGCCCAGACUCCUACGGGAGGCAGCAGUGGGGAAUUUUUGACAAUGGGGGAAGCCCUGCUCCAGCCAUCCCGCGUGUAUGAGAAGGCCUUCGGGUUGUAAAGUCCUUUUGGCAGAGAAGCGGUAUCUGCAGAAUAAGCACCGGCUAACUACGUGCCAGCAGCCGCGGUAAUUC
rnacentral:rRNA from 1 species